rnacentral:rRNA from 1 species
AUACGGAGGGUGCAAGCGUUGUUCGGAAUUAUUGGGCGUAAAGAGCAUGUAGGCGGUUCGUUAAGUCUGAUGUGAAAGCCCGGGGCUCAACCCCGGAAGUGCAUUGGAUACUGGCGAACUUGAGUACGGGAGAGGAAAGUGGAAUUUCGAGUGUAGGGGUGAAAUCCGUAGAUAUUCGAAGGAACACCAGUGGCGAAGGCGGCUUUCUGGACCGAUACUGACGCUGAGAUGCGAAAGCGUGGGGAGCAAACAGGAUUAGAAACCCUAGUAGUCC